AAAUGUCAAACUAAAAAGAAAUCAUAACAAACUGACUACCCAAACCGUGGGAACAUCGAUCCUGUUACGACAGACGGCAGUAUCAAGUUCCGCCUUGUUAAGGCUUGUGAUUAGCCGGUUCCGAUGUUCCAGAAUCCGGCCGAACAUGAUCCAGUAGAUAAUAAAUCCGAACUUCCGGUGCUGUUUCGGUCGUUCCCACAAGAAGAGGACAGCAAUGCAUUGAUGGCAUUCUGAUACAUCAUACAAGGGAGAUGAGCGGACGGAUGAUGGCCAUCAAUUUGAUACCAGAAGGAAUACUGAUUUCCUGGAGUAAGCAGUUUGCGCUAUCCGAUACAGGCUAAAUUCAUACGAAAUAUGCGUCGCAUCAUUUAAAUGUCUCCGCCGUCUCCGCAUUUUGUAUGUAGCUUAAUAACUUAUAUUAAAAAUAUAAUCUUGAAUUCAUGAACUAAACUAAA